UGAUCCUUCCCAGAAGACCUGUUACAAGAGUCCUACCCCGAAGCCUUUAUUGCGAACUACUGAAUGAACAGUUUCGGCUGUCUCAGUGGGGUGCCGACAUGCCUUCAUUCGUACCAACAAAACGAAAACAUUUUAGAACCAACGGCAGAUUCACGUUUCGUUUCACGGUGGAAGAGUCAGCCAUCUGAAACAGUGUACAACAGCAACACCGGGCGUAAAACUAAAAGCAUCUUUUCGACUAGUUUAUGCGCGCCGUUCCACAACGCUAUCGCGCGGGACGCAUAGAUUUUUCGUCACAUGCUCGAUCCUCUAGAGCUGGUCCCUACGGCUAACGAUAGACGUUCACCGACAGAUCACAAAACAGGAGCCGUAAACGGCACGAAUCGUACGAGUCGUCACGAACGGCAUGGACUUCUUUAAAGAAAUUAUACGCAUUGUGCUACGACAAUGACCUUGGCGUACAAGUGUUCGCGGGAUGGGAUUUUGGUUAACACAUAUGCCAACCUGUACGGUACGUUGUGUUAUAGUGUAAAAUAAGGAUUCAUCUAGUCAGUUGUAUAGAAUGAUCCUUUCGGCUAAACCCUUUAGAACGCUCACUACUGCGCCGCCUGAGAUCUACGGUUAAACGUAUGUAAAAACGAUUUUUACACGUCAGGAACGUUCUUCCUUCAAGCAAGACGCUCGCCUCUCAUUUACACCGUACAAAGCUAUUCAAAUAUAAUUAUUAUAUUAUAAUGAAUUCAAAUCUAAUAAAAUUGUUUUGUUGUAGUAAACGCACCAUACUUACGGAAGCCAUUGAAUAAAAUAAAAUCUUAAAAAAAAAAAGCUAUUAUGUGUCGAAAAUGCGCAAAUGGCCUCAUUUUAUCUAAGUGCGAGAUGCUCCCUUUUGUCUGUAUAAGGUGUGUGCUUUCAUGUUCUUUUUUUUUAUACAAUUUCUGCUUGCCGACUAAUUAAUUGCUACUGAUAGUGAAUCGAAUGGCACCACCCAGCAGUUAGUCGAUAAAUGUGCCUUCACGACUAUAUGCAAGGCUCGCCUACAGAGUUUCGGUGGUGGUAACUUAGGUAAAUUAGGCAACGUUCUCAAGUUGUCAAGCUGUAGCCACAGCUGCGGCUUCACACGUCCUAAAGAUCGAGUGGAUAACGCGUUUGUCUGUUAGGGGUUAGUUGCUUAUUUUUAGGAACAUCUUGCAAUUUCAAAACCGGACGUAGACACGUUUCGUACUGAGAGUCGGUUGUCUAAUGGAGGCAAUUCUGAACGGCUUCAGUACCGGACGUAAAGCAUGCGU